rnacentral:rRNA from 1 species
AUUGAACGCUGGCGGCAGGCCUAACACAUGCAAGUCGAACGGUAACAGGAAGCAGCUUGCUGCCUCGCUGACGAGUGGCGGACGGGUGAGUAAUGUCUGGGAAACUGCCUGAUGGAGGGGGAUAACUACUGGAAACGGUAGCUAAUACCGCAUAACGUCGCAAGACCAAAGAGGGGGACCUUAGGGCCUCUUGCCAUCGGAUGUGCCCAGAUGGGAUUAGCUAGUAGGUGGGGUAACGGCUCACCUAGGCGACGAUCCCUAGCUGGUCUGAGAGGAUGACCAGCCACACUGGAACUGAGACACGGUCCAGACUCCUACGGGAGGCAGCAGUGGGGAAUAUUGCACAAUGGGCGCAAGCCUGAUGCAGCCAUGCCGCGUGUAUGAAGAAGGCCUUCGGGUUGUAAAGUACUUUCAGCGGGGAGGAAGGGAGUAAAGUUAAUACCUUUGCUCAUUGACGUUACCCGCAGAAGAAGCACCGGCUAACUCCGUG